rnacentral:piRNA from 1 species
CUUGCUAUAGGACCCUUUUAA